rnacentral:rRNA from 1 species
UACGUAGGGGGCAAGCGUUGUCCGGAAUCAUUGGGCGUAAAGCGCGUGUAGGCGGCUCGGUAAGUCUGCUGUGAAAGUCCAGGGCUCAACCCUGGGAUGCCGGUGGAUACUGUCGAGCUCGAGUCCGGAAGAGGCGAGUGGAAUUCCUGGUGUAGCGGUGAAAUGCGCAGAUAUCAGGAGGAACACCGAUGGCGAAGGCAGCUCGCUGGGACGUGACUGACGCUGAGACGCGAAAGCGUGGGGAGCAAACAGG